rnacentral:lncRNA from 1 species
GGUUUUAGUAUACUACAACAUCAUAUGGUUCACAUACAACCCUAAAUGCUUUGGAUCUAUGUUUUCUCUAAUUAUACAUGCAAUAUUGUUUCCAAAGCACUAAGCCUACAACUAGCAUGGAAUUGACAUGAUCAUCAUAAAAAGGAGUUAUAGAAUUACCUCUUUCUUGUAGCUUGUAGAACUUCUUGAGUUUAGCCUUUAAGAACUUAGUGCCUCAAGUGUUGCACCUCAAAUGGAAUCACAACACACAUAUAACAAAGGAGAAUUUUGAGAGAGUAUUUCUUGCACCAAAAUUGGCUCAUGGAACUCCAAGGCUCACUAGUGUAUGUAGUCCCAAUUUUGGAUGCUAAGGGGCGUCAUAUAUACUGUGGCAAGAUUAGGGUUACACCAUGUAAACCUAAUGUGCAUGACCUUCCAUAUUCCAUAGGCUCCAUGGGUUUAAACCCCCAUUGAUCAUCCAUGGGUUGUAACAAUGAUUUAGCCCAACCUAAAGAAUCAUGGAUCAUUGGCCCACACCAUAAGAAUGAAUGUGUAACGACCAUAAAAAUUCCAAACAAUUUAAACUUUUCAAAAACAACCCCAUUUCAUUAAGUUAUUACAAAAAGGUUUUCAAUACAAUUAUCAUCAGAGUCUUCCCAGAGCCACAUCAUAAAACAUAAUCAUGAGGAGGGGUAUGAUCACGCCUUUGCCUUGCCACGGUCUCCUAAAGAACCUGAAAAACAUUAAACCACAACUGUAAGCCUGAAAGCUUAGUGAGAUACCCCCAAAAUACCAACCACAUAUACCAUACACACACAACAUGCCAUAUCAUAACAGAACACAGAACAACCAUGCACUUCGGGUCCACUGUGUGACUGGUCCGCCGCACUGGCCUUCAGUCUACCUGGUCCACCCUCCAAGUCUAACCGUAUACAUCGAGUCUACAGUGUGAUUGGUCCGCCCGCACCGGGCCUUCGAUCCACCUGGUCCACUCUCUGAGUCUACAGUGUAACUGGUCCGCCCGCACUAGGCCUUUAGUCGGCCUGGUCCACUCACCGAGCCUCGGCACGUCUGUUCCGCCCUCUUGGGGCCUACAGCCUAUCCGGACUGCUUGCUGGGCCUUCGAAACAACUAAUCCGCCCUGGGUAUGUUGGCCUACAGCACAAAGCAGGACCCACCUCAACCCAACCCCAGUCCAACAACCAUGUGCACAUAAACAUUCAAUCAUAUAACAAUUCACAUUCAAUCAAGCCAAUCUAGCAGAUCACAUAACAUAACAUCAUCCUAACCAGGAUACCGACCUAACCGGUCACUAGCAUAGCAUCAUCCUAUAUACCAGGAUGUCGACCUUAACCAGGUCUCUAACAUAAUACCAUCCUAACUACCAGAAUGCAAACAUAGCAAAGCAAUAACAUAACAACGAUACCCGGAUCACAAUCCGAUAAAGGGCCGGCCUUGGUGCCUUAGACCCUGUUGAUAUAGUGAGGAUAACUCACCUCGCAACUGCCAACUGAACAGAUAAACCCAACCUGCUCCAACCACUGAUGUGAUCUCCACCACUGGUCAACACCAAAACACUGAACUCAAAACAAAAGCCAAUAAUUACCAAAAUGCCCCUGGAAAUCAACUCGUCAACCCUUGGUCAAAGUCACAGCCAAAGUCAAAGUCAAAGUCAACCCCUGACUGACUUUACUCGCCGAGUCAACCCGAUGACUCGCCGAGUCCCCAUGCAUAGAACUUCCCCAAUCCGCGACUCAACUCGCCGAGUCACCCCGAGACUCGCCGAGUUCCACAACCAUGAGUCCUUUCACACUCGACUUAUCGAUUCGCAGCUCAACCAGAAGAAAGGUUAGGUCCUCACGACCAGACUCGCCGAGUCCAAGGCUAUCUUCAACAGGCUCGCCGAGUUGUUCUUCCUACUCGUCGAGUCCUUGCUUAUCUUCAUCCAACUCGCCGAGUUGUUCUUCCAACUUGUCGAGUUCCAGCCUAUCUUCAAGCAACUCGCCGAGCACACCCUUGUGACUCGCCGAGUACCCUUAGAUCUGAAACCAUAUAGAGGCUUUCCGAUCCAUGCAGAAGCUCUAAACCAUAGAUCUACCCUUCUACAAGCCAUCCAUCACGUAAAGUGGCAAACUUUACAUGAAUCCAAGUAGAUCUAAGCAUGUUACACUCUAGGGUUUGGGUUUGGGACAAAAGAACUUCACCAACAACUCUUGAGCAUAGACUUUAUGGCUUUCUGGAUCAUUAGCAACCUAGAUCUGAGGUAGCAACCUCAGAUCUUACACCAAACUUGAGAUGGACCUCAUUUAUGCCCCAAAACCCCCACAAAUGAUAGAUCUAGAUGCACAAAAUCUCAAACAGAGGAUUAUUACCUCAAAUGAAGGCUCCUACUGAUGAAUGAACCAUUUCUCUGCAAAUCCCCCUUGCUCCAAUCUUCUUGCUCUUCAAUUUCCUUCCAAGGUUACCUCCUCCAAGGCUCUAAUCUCUCACCAAGGAAAGCUCACAUGAAUUUAGGGUUUCUGGAACUCAAAGGAAAGGUAAAGAGGCUGGGGAAGAAGUGUUAUGUUCUUUAUAUAGGGCUCAACCCCUGGAAUUAGGGUUUUCUCCACUCAGCACCAACUCGUCGAGUCCACCCAUGCUACUCGCCGAGUUGGUCACUUAACACGCGACCAGAGUCGCGACCCUACUCGUCGAGUUCACUCGUGGACUCACCGAGUUGCCCUUUCACACUUACACUUUUAGCCCUUUAACUCUACUUCUGAUACUUCGGGAUGUUACAAUUCUCCCCCACUUGAAUUAGGCUUCGUCCUCGAAGCCUGUGGCAACACAACUCCAGAACUACUCUCACAAUGCACCACCUGGCAUUAACCAGACCAGGUUCCUCAACACACAACCACCGAAACCCAAAACCCAAUUUUUCUUCCCGCGGUGUUCUGACCACCGCUUCAAGCCGGCCACCGCCCUCCUCCUCUGAUAACCACACUUAUCAACUGAGUACCACUCCAUGAUACUUCACUCGCUCCAAAGCACAACAAUCACUCGACUCAUACGAGCUAAAAAUAACCAUGAACCACCGGGAUUCCCGGUCUAAGCCCAACUUUAUCCACUCCAUGCUGACAGGAUGACACAUCCUUCAGCCCCAGAGCAACUCCCAUGAGUUCUCCACCGCAAUCUCAUUCCCAUGCUGAACUGGCUCUAGCAUCUUCGGGUUGGGAAAACCCGAUACACUGACGACACCUCCAAACAUCCCCCAGGAUGAAUUUCCACUACAUAAAUCAAAAUCAAACUGGAAAUCUAAGAUUACAUCCCUGCAUUCCUUAUGAGCCUCAGCAAAUAUCCAACCCGGAUGUGAUUCCAUACCACAGCCGCAGACACACUGCUCAUCAACCAUGUUUGAAAUACCCCAAUCAUAACUCUGCACUACUGCUUUCACUUCCGCAAACUUACACUCCCUCUCGGAGCUACAUUCCUUUCCUUUCCCCUUACCAAGGAAAUCCACUUGGCUGCCUUGACACUACCACAAGUGCCACGGUGCUCACUCAAUACUACACCAUUCUCUUAUAGCAUAACCGCUAUCCUAUGCACCAUACAUGCUCUGGAUCCGCUCGCAAGGACUUUCCAGUCCAUGCUCUACCUUCUACCCACCACCAUCAAUACCCGGGGCCAGACCUUCUGAUGCUAACACAUCGUGACAUACUCAAUCCAUUUCCUUGUACCGAUCUAUCAACACAUGCAGAGUUUUCAGCAUGACUGGACCGCCUUACCAGGCCUUCAGCCAAUCUGGACCACUCUCAGAACCUUCAGCAGAUCUGGACCGCCCUCCAGGGCCUUCAGCCUGGCUGGACCGUUCUCCGAGCCUUCCGCCUGAUUGGUACGCCUACCGGCCUUCAGUCUAUCCAGACCGCUCAACUAGCAUUCAUCAUUCCGAGUCAUUCCUCCGGGAAACUCUCCCAUGCAUACUGUUCUAGCCCUCUAGGGGUUCCGAACUCUAUCUCCAUCCUACAUACUCAAACUCGGCCCGAUCUCAGGCCUUCCACAAUCACUCACCCUUGGUCUGUAUCCCGCCCCGCCUGUCUGAAACUUGCUCAUACCGGCCUACGCUCGGCUGACAGAACCAUUGUUGAAUCCCAACAGCUAGACAACCUCUCAUGCUUAUCGAUCUUCCGGAGAAUUUUCCAAUUCUCCCCCACUUAGAGCACUGACUAUCAACCACCUGAUCGCCAUCACCGACCUCCCUUAUCAACCUUACACAACACAAUCCCUUACACGUGAACUGGCUCCCACUAGAACGAGAAACCUUCACAAAAUCACAUAACAUCAUUGAUCAUCACGGGAUCGAAAGAAACUUGGUCUUUAGCUAACCACUCCUCAGACUGCAGAUGCUACCCGACAUUCCUACCAAAAGCCAUAUUCCCACUAAUAAUCCUCCUGAAUGAUAACCAACGAAAUUCCCAACACUAAACCCAUAACCAUACCAUAACCCUCAAAGAACAACGAAUACAAUACCGAAAACCACACAACGAGACUAGCAGAUAAACAAUACUCUAGAAUAAUCACAAGAUAACAAGACAUCAAGAAAGAAACAUACCCGCAGCUACAUCCGGCACUGCCCUGACCUCCUCCACUGUAAGCUGAAAUGCACGACCCUGAGCCCUUAGGAGCUCCGCUCCACCCUGAUCUCCACUCGCAAUCCUCAAAGUAGCCGGUGUUGGAGCCUGCACCGGUCCUGCAGCAAGCUGUGGACAGUUGACCCUCAAGUGUCCAACCUGAUGGCAAUGAUAACAAAUCCUCAAACCCCAAACCGGGGCUGUCUGCCGACAAUCCCUCGAAUAGUGCCCCUCUUUUCCGCACUUGCGGCAUGCACCACCGGACCUACAAACUCCGGUGUGACCAUUCCCACAAGUUUGGCUGCUCUGCUCUCCCAUCCUAGAAUCAACGGUUUUGGACCAUUUCGGUGCCGGCUGCGACUGCACCGGAGCCUGUCUCUGCUCUCACAACUGCAACUCAAUCUCCAACUCAUGCCGCCUAGCGGCCUCCUUCAACUCCAACAAGGUCUCGCACUUCUGCGUAAACACAAACUGUCUGAUAUCCCUCUUGAGCAUACUCAUAUAUUGAGACAUCUGAGCCUGCUCUGAAGCGAACUCAGGGAAAAACAUCUCCCUCUCAGUGAACAUCCUGGUGAUCUCCGUCACCGACUCCGAAUCUUGCUUCAGCUCCCGGAACUCCUGAGCCAACCUCUCUCUCUCAACCCGCGGAACAUAACGAGUGCUGAACAUCUCCCGUAACUGAUCUCAUGAAACUGCAGCCCUCUGCGCGUCCGAAUACGACCCCGUGGUCAAUCUCCACCAAUCCUUCGCCCCGAGCCUUAACAGGUUCAGAGCACACCUCACCCUCUGAUCAGCAGGGCAUGAACACAUGAAGAAACACCCCUCCAUGUCCGACAACCAUCUCAUAGCAACAAUCAGGUCCUGAACCCCAUCGAAGGUAGGAGGCUUCGUAUUAUCAAAGUCCCGAUACUGAAAACCUCGACCGACUCCUCCCCCUGCCGUUGUUACAACCACUGUAGCCGCCGCGACAGCCGUCUCUGUGAGAGCCGCAUAGCGCUCAUCAAAAUACUCAAUCUGGCAACUCGGACCGGAACAACGCAGCAACCUCAUCAUGUAGGAUCUCGCGAAUCUUGGCGUCCAACUCGCCUGUGCUCAUCUGACCAAUAACCUCGGGCGGUACUGACCCACUCUGACCUCCCUCUCCUGCUCCCGAUCCUGACCCGAAUCCGCUCCCAGCAUGCCUCGUAACCACCAUACUGAAAAACACCACAAGAUCUCAGAUACUUCCCGCGAACCCGGGAACCAACUCCCAACCCAACCCUAGACGCCAUGGUUUCUUUGAUACGCGUAUGGGUCUUGUGCUUUCAGUAGUACGGGUCCAUACUACCUUCCACACCUACCCAUAUUUGUAUCAAGUAUACCACAACACCCUAGUGAAAACAUGCAUAACAAGCGCUCAACCCUCUCUCCUAGAGGAACACCGGAAAUCUCCCACAGAGGAACCCUAAGCUAGCAGGCAUCAUAAAUCAGGCAACAUUAUCAUGAAAUCCUGAAGAUCGCUUGCCUAGUACUAGCAUGCUGUUCUAUCAAAGCUCAAAAACAAUUAUCAUGUAUGGUAUUGUGGGGUUACUUACUGGCUCCGGCUGAUCGUACCUCCGUGUCCUCCUUUACUCAUUUUGAAAACCAUUUUAAAUUCUCUUUUGAAAAACUCUCCUUGAUUUGAGACUGGAUUCACACGAAUGUUCCUCCAAUUCACUCAAACCAAGGCCCUGAUACCAACUUGUAACGACCAUAAAAAUUCCAAACAAUUUAAACUUUUCAAAAACAACCCCAUUUCAUUAAGUUAUUACAAAAAGGUUUUCAAUACAAUUAUCAUCAGAGUCUUCCCAGAACCACAUCAUAAAACAUAAUCAUGAGGAGCGGUAUGAUCACGCCUUUGCCUUGCCACGGUCUCCUGAAGAACCUGAAAAACAUUAAACCACAACNAAUAGUUAUGGACUUAGACACUAAUCCAACACAAAAUACCAACCACAUAUACCGUACACGCACAACAUGCCAUAUCAUAACAGAACACAGAACAACCAUGCACUUCGGGUCCACUGUGUGACUGGUCCGCCGCACCGGCCUUCAGUCUACCUGGUCCACCCUCCAAGUCUAACCGUAUACAUCGAGUCUACAGUGUGAUUAGUCCGCCCGCACCGUGCCUUCGAUCCACCUGGUCCACUCUCUGAGUCUACAGUGUGACUGGUCCGCCCACACUAGGCCUUCAGUCGGCCUGGUCCACUCACCGAGCCUCGGCACGUCUGAUCCGCCCUCUUGGGGCCUACAUCCUAUCCGGACUGCUCACUGGGCCUUCGGAACAACUGAUCCGCCCUGGGUAUGUUGGCCUACAGCACAAAUCAGGACCCGCCUCAACCUAACCCCAGUCCAACAACCAUGUGCACAUAAACAUUCGAUCAUAUAACAAUUCACAUUCAAUCAAGCCGAUCUAGCAGAUCACAUAACAUAACAUCAUCCUAACCAGGAUACCGACCUAACCGGUCACUAGCAUAGCAUCAUCCUAUAUACCAGGAUACCGACCUUAACCAGGUCUCUAACAUAAUACCAUCCUAACUACCAGGAUGCAAACAUAGCAAAGCAAUAACAUAACAGCGAUACCCGGAUCACAAUCCGAUAAAGGGCCGGCCUUGGUGCCUUAGACCCUGUUGAGAUAGUGAGG